rnacentral:rRNA from 1 species
GAGAUGAGUUCUCCCUGAGACUUUAGUCUCCUGAAGGAACGUUGAAGACGACGACGUUGAUAGGCCGGGUGUGUAAGCGCAGCGAUGCGUUGAGCUAACCGGUACUAAUGAACCGUGAGGCUUAACCUUACAACGCCGAAG